GGGUGAGUAAUACUUAGGAAUCUACCUAGUAGUGGGGGAUAGCACGGGGAAACUCGUAUUAAUACCGCAUACGACCUACGGGAGAAAGGGGGCAGUUUACUGCUCUCGCUAUUAGAUGAGCCUAAGUCGGAUUAGCUAGAUGGUGGGGUAAAGGCCUACCAUGGCGACGAUCUGUAGCUGGUCUGAGAGGAUGAUCAGCCACACCGGGACUGAGACACGGCCCGGACUCCUACGGGAGGCAGCAGUGGGGAAUAUUGGACAAUGGGGGAAACCCUGAUCCAGCCAUGCCGCGUGUGUGAAGAAGGCCUUUUGGUUGUAAAGCACUUUAAGCAGUGAAGAAGACUCCGUGGUUAAUACCCACGGACGAUGACAUUAGCUGCAGAAUAAGCACCGGCUAACUCUGUGCCAGCAGCCGCGGUAAUACAGAGGGUGCAAGCGUUAAUCGGAAUUACUGGGCGUAAAGGGAGCGUAGGUGGCUCUAUAAGUCAGAUGUGAAAUCCCCGGGCUCAACCUGGGAACUGCAUCUGAAACUGUAGAGCUAGAGUAUGUGAGAGGAAGGUAGAAUUCCAGGUGUAGCGGUGAAAUGCGUAGAGAUCUGGAGGAAUACCGAUGGCGAAGGCAGCCUUCUGGCAUAAUACUGACACUGAGGCUCGAAAGCGUGGGUAGCAAACAGGAUUAGAUACCCUGGUAGUCCACGCCGUAAACGAUGUCUACUAGUCGUUGGGUCCCUUGAGGACUUAGUGACGCAGCUAACGCAAUAAGUAGACCGCCUGGGGAGUACGGCCGCAAGGUUAAAACUCAAAUGAAUUGACGGGGGCCCGCACAAGCGGUGGAGCAUGUGGUUUAAUUCGAUGCA
rnacentral:rRNA from 1 species